GUUUGUGAUGCUUCUGCAAAUGACAGAGCCACUGAAAAUAGUGGAAGUGAAAAAUGGAAAAGGAAGAAUGGAUCUGCAAACGCUUGAAAACCAACAGUCGGAUACAAAGACUUCGAGACCUUCGCGUUCCUUCUGGAAUCGUAGACGACCUGGAUUUCGAAAAAGGGCUUAAAGAUAAUCAGAG